UACGGGGGGGGCAAGCGUUGUUCGGAAUUACUGGGCGUAAGGGCUCGUAGGCGGCCAACUAAGUCAGACGUGAAAUCCCUCGGCUUAACCGGGGAACUGCGUCUGAUACUGGAUGGCUUGAGAUUGGGAGAGGGAUGCGGAAUUCCAGGUGUAGCGGUGAAAUGCGUAGAUAUCUGGAGGAACACCGGUGGCGAAGGCGGCAUCCUGGACCAACACUGACGCUGAGGAGCGAAAGCCAGGGGAGCAAACGGG
rnacentral:rRNA from 1 species